AGAAAAGCCAGUUAUCAAUUUUAAGGGUUACAUGGUGGGAAAUGCGGUCACGGACCCAAAAUUUGAUGGGGAUGCUCUUGUUCCUUUUGCCCACGGUAUGGCCCUCAUCUCAGAUGAUAUCUAUGAGGAAGCUCGAGCUGCUUGCAAAGGAAACUACUACAGUAACUCUGAAAAGGGUCAUUGCAACUCAAAA